rnacentral:rRNA from 1 species
GACAGAGGGUGCAAACGUUGUUCGGAAUUACUGGGCGUAAAGCGUGUGUAGGCGGCCCCGCAAGUCGGAUGUGAAAGCCCUUGGCUUAACCGAGGAAGUGCAUCCGAAACUGGCGAGCUAGAGUACGAAAGAGGAUCGCGGAAUUCCUGGUGUAGCGGUGAAAUGCGCAGAUAUCAGGAAGAACACCCGUGGCUAAGGCGGCUCUCUAGUACGGUACUGACGCUGAGACGCGAAAGCGUGGGGAGCGAACAGG